CGGACGGGUGAGUAAUGUCUGGGAAACUGCCUGAUGGAGGGGGAUAACUGCCGGAAACGGUAGCUAAUACCGCAUAACGUCGCAAGACCAAAGAGGGGGACCUUCGGGCCUCUUGCCAUCGGAUGUGCCCAGAUGGGAUUAGCUAGUAGGUGGGGUAACGGCUCACCUAGGCGACGAUCCCUAGCUGGUCUGAGAGGAUGACCAGCCACACUGGAACUGAGACACGGUCCAG
rnacentral:rRNA from 1 species